UCGACUGCUGGGCGGAGCUCCAGUAGCUCAAGGAGCCAGUGGCCACAGCCAGCAGGGGCUGGAGGAGACAGAAGGGGUCCCGGAGGGAGGAGGGAGGGGGGCAGCUCCUGCUUCUGCGUGAGGAAGCCAGAGAAGGGCGGGAGAGCAGAAUAGCCAGCAGUGUUCCCAAACAAGGAAGAAAGCCACCCGCUUGCUGUCUUUUCUCUGGUAAAUAUUUGACUGGAUGUUUGCCUUCUCCCUGAGUUUUUUUUUUAGGUGCUGUGAAGAGAACUGGCCAGAACAUCAGAAUAUCAGAAGCAGUCAUCACCAAGAGGCCAGAGAAGCCCAAAGAACAAUCCAGAGAAGCAGGCUGCCCACCGGGGCUGCAGGCAGCGCGUGCUUUUCCAGCAAGAUGCUUUUCCCAAACGCAAGUACCAGGCAGCUAAAUGGCACCUGUACCAGUUCAGUGGACAUGGAGCUCUUCCUCCAUUACUCCCUCAUCCCAUCACUUUUCAUCAUUUUGGUCUUGUCCCUUCUCCAAAGACAAGAGCACUGUAGGCAGAGAGAUGACACUUCUCACCUUCUGGGGAACCACUUUGGAAUGAUCAUACCUCUGGACUUCGUGGGCACUUUUAGUAACCGAUGGUCCUAUGGAGUCGCCUUUGGGGCCACAGCCAAUAAGGUCAUGUUCUUGUUCUCAGAAGGCUACCAGCCCCUGCAGGUCCCGCAGUGGGCCCAAGCCUUUGUGCUUCUGAUUGGAGGCAUCGAAGUCGGCCUGUCCCACUUCCCCUUCUUUGCCUGCCUUUCCUCGGAGUUCCGGCUGGUCAGCUCCAUCCUGGGCUUCAGCUACUCUCUCACCUGGUUUGCUGUCACUGUCCUUCAUAUCACACAGUGUCCUCACGGGCAGUUUGUGGGGAAGUAUGAGACCGUCAUGUUCUACUGGCCCUCACUGCUGUGCCUGGCCUUCCUGCUGGGCCGCUUCCUGCUCAUGUUUGUCAAGUCUCUGAGGGUCCACCUGGGCUGGGAACUCCAGACGGAGGAAAAGCCUUUCCUGGAAGCUCACCAGGCAGAGCAUGUUAAGCAGCUCCUGAGGAAGCGGCCCCGGCAAGAGAGAAAAAACUCUUGGUUCCAAACCAAGAUAUAUGAGUGGGACCCGUGCUUUCAGUUCCCGAGCAGAAUGAUUGGAACCACUGUGUUGGCUUUCAUCUGCCUUUACCUUUUCAUUGUCAUUGAGUUCUGCAUAUUUGUGUGUGUGAGAGAUGAGCUGGACGUGUUUGAAGGUGAAUUGGAGAACUACGUUGCCUCUGUGAACCAGACGGGGACCCUGACCCCAGUCCUUCUGCAAGUGAAAGAGCUGAUUAGCGUCAUCAAAGGAGUCUGGGUGGUGACCAUUUUGCCCGCCUCUCUCACGUGUGUGAGCUAUCUGUUUCACAUCUUGGCAUGUUACAGAAAGCAUAUCAAGAGGUUGUGGGCAGGAGAUAAACACUUUCUCCCUUUGAAAUUCCAUAAUCCGUCCUCGUCGGAGAGUGUGGUGGCCAUUGCGCGGUACUCUGGCUGGCAGAUAGCCUAUAUUCUGUGGGGCUACCUCAUCAUCCACGUGAUGCAGAGCCUGUGUGGCUUGGUGAUCAUGUACAGCCUGGUGCUGCCUGUCAUCCACAAUCAGGCCCUGAAGAUGCUCCGAGGACUGGGCAUCGGGACCCUCACCAUAUCCAUCGUCUUGGGUCUCAUGAUCCUGCAGGUAUGGAUUGCCGCCAAAUUCUUCUUGCAGCCAAAGAUGGGAACAACUGACAAGCAGAAGCCCCUGGCUCUCAACAAUAGGAGAGCAUUCCACAACUUCAACUAUUUUCUGUUCUUCUACAACGUGCUGCUGGGCCUGGGCGCCUGCCUCUCCAGACUUCUCAUCAGCUGCAUCCUGGGCACAUGGCUGAUUGCUCGCAUCGACAGGACCAUCCUGCAGAGUGGCUAUGAGGGAGCAGACAUGGGGUUCAGUGCAUGGAUUGGCAUGCUCUAUGUGGAUCAUUAUCACACCAACCCCGUGCUCGUCAGCUUUUGUCACAUCCUGAUCACAGGCCACAGGGAGAGGAGGCUGCAGCAGGCCAUCAAAUGCUGGUACCUAAAUCAGUCAGCAGGUCCCUGCAUCUCAGCUAGGUCCAGGACAAGGUGGCUCCUGCUGCAGACCCUGAUCAACAACCCCAGACUGGUCAUGCUCAGGAAAUCAAGGCCGGAUCGUGGCUCCCAGGAGUUUACCCAGAUUCUGUUGACGAGCUCGGAGAUCUGACAUGGACCUGCAGCAUUACGAUAAGGCCAUUGCAGGAUGAGUGCCGCCAAGAAGGCCCAGGCACCCCUGCAGCUGCAUCCUGCAGUGUGACAGGACGCACAGCCCUGUCCACGCAGGUGGCACACAGACCAAGCCAUUCAUGGGAUGGCACCCGGGCUGAACCAUGAAACCUCAGAUCUAUUCACUCCCUUGAGGGCCCAGUACUUAAUGCAAAUUCUUCACGCCCAAGCAUAAGGUCUCUGAUGGCCUGUCUCUCACGAAGCCUGUGCAGGUGCCAGGAGGACUCAACAACAGGUAAGAGAAGUCCCUGCCCAGCUCACAAGUCCCAGAGCCACUGAAAUUCAGUAAUCAGUAUUAAGCAUCUACUGUAAACCCAGUCCUAUUGCUUGAUGUGUUUGCCAGAUGUACCUCUUUUAACUUAAUCUCUGCAAAUUUUGUCAUUCUACUUUUUGAAACUAAGAAAACUGGGACUCAGAGUAUUGGGAUCCCCACAUCACCACUUUCUAGCUGUGUGACAUCAGCUAAAUUCCUUCACCUGUCUGUGCUUUCUUUUCCUUACAUAUAGAGGGGUAAUACCCGCACCACUAAAAAUUAUUUUGAGGAUAAAAUGAGUUAAUACACAGAAACACUCCUAAGCCAGUGCCUGACAUGUCCUAAACUCUCAGUAAAUAUCAGUCAUUGUUAUUUGUAAUGUUACACUUCAUGGUGAUCUGAUUAAUGUCUGCCUCUCACUAUGCUCUCAGCUCCAGGAAGAAAGAGGCCCUUUCAGAUUUUACUCACCAUUACCAAGUACUUGUAGUAACAUAGUAGGAUCUUGGAAUGAAUGAAAGAAUGAGGCCAUGAUGAAUAAAUCUUUCAGCCAUGAAUUCAAUACUGGAAUCAAUCCUGGCUCAUGAUCGCGUGACCACUAAACAGAAGGUCAGGAGCCCUGGGUUUCGGUCCCAGCUCUGUCAGGAGCAUGAGUCUCAGUUUUCCUAAAUGAGAGCUAGUGCUGCCCUCCCAGCCAGUGCUCCUCAUUUGUACCCAGCCAAUGCUGACCAAGUACCUGCUACGUGCAGUCACCACGCCAGGGACACAGGACACCAGGGAGAUGAGGUCCUGCCUGCAGCACAGGCCUCUCAGCUCCUGCUAUGAUUGUCUCCCAAUCUCUUCCCUGAACUGCCUUGUGAUCUCCUCAAGGGCAGGGAUCAGGUCUCUCUCAUCCUUGAGGACAUUACAUAAUGAUAAAAGGUGUGUUCUAUCAAGAAGAUGUAAUGAUUAUAAACAUAAACAUAUCUAACAACAGAGUUCCCAAAACAUGAAGCAAAAACUGACAGAGUUGAAGGGAAAAAUGGACAGUUCUGUACUAAUAGUGGCGAUUUCAGUAGUCCUCUUUCAAUAAUGGAUAGUAAAACCAGACGGAAAUCAGUAAAGAAAUAGAGAACUCGAACAACACCAUAAACCAGUUAGACGUAGCCCUCCAUCCAACAGCAGAAUAUGUAUUCUUCUCAGGUGCGUAUGGAACAUUCUCAAGGAUAGACCAUGUGUUAGGCCCCCAAACAAGUAUUAAUACAUUUUUAAAAAAUUAAAUCAUAAAAAGUAUCAUUUCUGACCACAAUGGAAUGAAACUAGAUAACAGUGACAGAAGGAAAAUUGGGGGGAAAAUCACAAAUAUGGGAAAAUUAAACAAUUCUCCAUUAAACACCCAAUGAGUGAAAGUUGAAAACAAGGGAUAUUAGAAAAUACCUUGAAUCAAAUGAAAAUAAAGCUACAACAUACCAAAACCUAUGGCAUGCAGGAAAAGCAGUACUCAUAGGGACAUUUAUGGUUGUAAAUGUCUACAUCAAAAAGAAGAUCCCAAAACAAUAACUUUAUACCUUGAGGACUAGAAAAGGAAGAGUAAACUAAACCUAAAGCUAGCAAAAAGAGGGUAAUAAUAAAUAUGAGAGCAGAGAUAAGAUAAAGAACAGGAAAAUACAGAAAAUCAAUCAAACCAAAAGUGAGUUCUGUGAAAAGAUCAACAAAAUUGACAAACUUUUAUCUAGAAUCACUAAGAAAAAAGAGAAAAGACCACAAUAUUAAAACCAGAACUGAAAGUUGGAUAUUACUACCGACUCUGCAAGAGUGAAAAUGAUUAUAAGAGUAUAGUGUGAAUAGCUUUACUCCAACAAGUUGGAUAACCUAUGUGAGAUGGACAAGUUCCUACAAGCAUACACACUAGCCAAGUUGACUCAAGAAGAAAUAGAAACUGAAUAGACCUAUAACAAGAGAUUGAAUUCUUAAAAAUUAUUUUAAAAAAUGCACACAACCUACAACAAAUACAAGACCAGAUGGCUUCAUGAGUGAAUUCUACAAAGCAUUUAAAGAAGAUUUAAACUCAUUCUUCUCAAACUCCCCCCAAAAAUAAAAGAGGAGGAGACACUUCUUUCACAUUUGAUGUGGCCAGCCUAACCCUGAUAGGAGAGCAGACUAGAACUGGAAGACUUAAGGUAAAAUGGCAAUAUUCCCUAAAGUAAACCACACUUCCAGUGCAGUCCUUGUAAAAUACCAACUAAUGUUUGUUGCAGAAACGGAAAAGCUGAUACUAAAAUUCAAAUGGAAUUGCAAAUAGCCCAAACAAUGUUGAAAAAGGUGAACAAAGUUAGAAGGCACACACAUCCUGAUUUUAAGUUUUAAUACAAAGCAACAGUAAUCAGACUGCAUCUCUGGCAUAAGAUAGGUAUAUAAACCAGUGGAAUAGGCUGAAAGUCCAGAAAGAAACCAUAAUCUAUGGUCACAUGAUUCUCAAACAAAUGGUUGAAUUUAAACAAGUGGUCAAGACCACUGAAUGUGGAAAACAGUGUUUUCAACAAAUGGUGCUAGGAAAACGGGAAAUCUGCAUGCAAAAGAAUGAAUUUGGAUCCUUGCCUUAUACCAUAUACAAAAAUAAACACAAUGGAGCAAAUCUAUAUUUAAGAGCUAGAACUAUAAAUUCUUAAAACAAAAGGAUAAAUAUUAUGAUCUUGGAUUUGCUAAUUCUUAGGUAUAACAGCCAAAGCACAAGCAAGAAACAAUAGAUAAGUUCAUAAGACUUAAUCUAUCAAGACUUCAUAAAUAUGAUAAACUUUUGUGCAUCAAAGGACAGUAUCAGGAGAUGUAAAGACAACCUAGAAUGGGAGAAAAUAUUUGCAAAUCAUAUAUCUGAUAUGGGACUAAUAUUCAGAAUAUAUAAAAAAAUUCUUACAGCUUGAGAUGGUCUUGCCUGUCAAUUUGGCUAGGUUAUCGUUCCUGAUUAUUUAUCAAAUACAUCUACAAUCAGUUGACUUGUGGGGAUGAUACCCUUGAAAAUGUGGAUGAGUCUCAAUCACUCAGCUGAAACCUCUAAGAGGAAAAAUUGAAGUUUCCUACUGAAGAAGAAAUCACGCCUGAGAUUGCAGGAUAAAAUCCUCUUGAGUUUCUAGUCUGCUGGUCUAUUCUGUAGGCUUCAAAUUUGC